rnacentral:rRNA from 1 species
GGACUACACGGGUAUCUAAUCCUGUUUGCUCCCCACGCUUUCGCGUCUCAGCGUCAGUAUCCGUCCAGAUGGCCGCCUUCGCCACUGGUGUUCCUCCCCAUAUCUACGAAUUUCACCUCUACUUGGGGAAUUCCGCCAUCCUCUCCGGUACUCAAGCCGAGCAGUUUCGGGCGCACUUCCUCAGUUGAGCUGAGGGCUUUCACACCCGACUUGCAAGGCCGCCUACACGCGCUUUACGCCCAAUAAUUCCGAACAACGCUUGCACCCUCUGUAUUACCGCGGCUGCUGGCAC